rnacentral:rRNA from 1 species
AGUGAACGCUGGCGGUAGGCCUAACACAUGCAAGUCGAACGGCCGCACAGUAAGAGCUUGCUCUUACGGGUGGCGAGUGGCGGACGGGUGAGGAAUACAUCGGAAUCUACUUUUUCGUGGGGGAUAACGUAGGGAAACUUACGCUAAUACCGCAUACGACCUACGGGUGAAAGCAGGAGAUCUUCGGACCUUGCGCGAUUGAAUGAGCCGAUGUCGGAUUAGCUAGUUGGCGGGGUAAAGGCCCACCAAGGCGACGAUCCGUAGCUGGUCUGAGAGGAUGAUCAGCCACACUGGAACUGAGACACGGUCCAGACUCCUACGGGAGGCAGCAGUGGGGAAUAUUGGACAAUGGGCGCAAGCCUGAUCCAGCCAUACCGCGUGGGUGAAGAAGGUCUUCGGGUUGUAAAGCUCUUUUGUUGGGAAAGAAAAGCAGCAGGUUAAUACCCCGCUGUUCUGACGGUACCCAAAGAAUAAGCACCGGCUAACUUCGUG